AUACGGAGGGUGCAAGCGUUGUUCGGAAUUAUUGGGCGUAAAGGGCGCGUAGGCGGUAAUGUAAGUCAGAUGUGAAAUACUCCGGCUCAACCAGAGAACUGCAUCUGAAACUGCAUAACUAGAGUACAGAAGAGGGAAACGGAAUUCCCGGUGUAGAGGUGAAAUUCGUAGAUAUCGGGAGGAACACCAGUGGCGAAGGCGGUUUCCUGGUCUGAUACUGACGCUGAGGCGCGAAAGCGUGGGGAGC
rnacentral:rRNA from 1 species